UUUCCGUAGGUGAACCUGCGGAAGGAUCAUUAUUGUAUAACCGAGGUGCGAGGGCUGUCGCUGACCCGAAAGGUCGUGCACGCCCGAGUGCCCUCACACACAUCCAUCUCACCCCUAUGUGCACCACCGCGUGGGUCCCCCUUUGGCUUGUUCGGAGGGGGGCUUACGUUUUCACACAAACUUUGUAUGCAGUGUAGAAUGUAUUUUUUGUUUUUGCGAUCACGCAAUCAAUACAACUUUCAACAACGGAUCUCUUGGAUCUC
rnacentral:misc_RNA from 1 species